CACCUCUUGCACAACCAUAAGAGGCCCAGCCUGCCCAGUGACCCUGUUCAACGGCCGCGGUAUCCUAACCGCGCGAAGGUAGCGUAAUCACUUGUUUUCUAAAUAAAGACUAGUAUGAAAGGCACCACGAGAUUUAAACUGUCUCCUUUCCCUAAUCAGUGAACCUAAUCUCCCCGUGAAGAAGCGGGGGUAACCUUAUAAGACGAGAAGACCCUGUGGAGCUUAAAACUAUUACACACGUGCCACCCAAUUCUUACACCAAGGUCAUCACCUACCCAGCACGCUGAUUAUACGUUUUUGGUUGGGGCGACCACGGAGAACAAAACACCCUCCGCGAUGAAAGGGAUAUACCCCCUAAAUAAUAAGCCACGACUUAAUCUAUCAAUAAAUUGACAUUCAUUGACCCAAUAUUUUGAUCAACGAACCAAGUUACCCCAGGGAUAACAGCGCAAUCCACUUUUAGAGCUCCUAUCAACGAAGUGGGCUUACGACCUCGAUGUUGGAUCGGGAUAUCCCAGUGGUGCAGCCGCUACUAAAGGUUCGUUUGUUCAACGAUUGAAAUCC
rnacentral:rRNA from 1 species